rnacentral:rRNA from 1 species
CACGUAGGGGGCGAGCGUUGUCCGGAUUUAUUGGGCGUAAAGGGCUCGUAGGCGGCUCAGUAAGUCGGGUGUGAAACCUCCAGGCUCAACCUGGAGACGCCACCUGAUACUGCUGUGGCUAGAGUCCGGUAGGGGAGCAUGGAAUUCCUGGUGUAGCGGUGAAAUGCGCAGAUAUCAGGAGGAACACCAGUGGCGAAGGCGGUGCUCUGGGCCGGAACUGACACUGUAAAACGAAAGCCAGGGGAGCAAACGGG